CUUUCGCCCCGAUAACUUCGUCUUCGGACAGUCUGGUGCUGGCAACAACUGGGCCAAGGGUUAUUACACGGAGGGAGCUGAGCUCAUUGAUUCUGUUCUUGAUGUUGUCAGGAAAGAGGCUGAGAAUUGUGAUUGCUUACAAGGUAUAAACCCUACAGCUUUGACCCUUUUUUUUCUUUCCCCCAAAGCACUUUUAACCUAUAGGUUUUGUUGAAAUCUCUGUUUUUUGGUUCUUGGUUUAAUGUUAAAUUUAUCCUUUCACCUCCGUCAAUUUUGGAUCUCAUAAUUUAUUUUUGGUUCUUGGGUUCAGUAAGCUAUUUUUGGUGCUUUCCAGGAGAUUUUCUUUCAUUUUCCUUUCUCCUAUUUCGGUGGAUUUUAGGGAGGUCUUUUAUUUCAUCUUUAGUGCUGAUAUAUUUCUCCUUAGUCUGGACUAUGUCUUCUUGUCUGUUAUACCUACUGAACACUUCUAUUUUGAAGUAAAAUUGUUAUAAACAACACAGAGGUUUUAUUAAGCAAACUUUAGCAAGGGACUUCACAAACUUUAGCAAGGUUAGUUUGGCUUAAAAAUUCUAUGUUGAAUGGAUAUUUUCCUUUGAGUGUAACUCUUCUAAUGUUCAGCUGAGAGAAAGAAGUUAUUAACAUUGCUUACCAUGCAGCAAUGAAAUCUCAGAACCUACUGCUCCCGCUUCUGAGGUUUUCCAGUUAGUGGGCGUAUAAUGGAGACAAUGCAAGGUCAAAGUCUUCAGCAGCACUUUUUCCUGCUUCUAAUGAAUUAUAUUGUUUUGCAGCAUAUAGUUGAUUUCAAUUUUCCAAGGUUAGCAGAUUUUGGAGCUGCAAUAUCUGGUGCAAACAAAUUGCAAUGCCAGCAAGUUAUUGAAGAGUUGGAUGUGCAUAAGCGGUUGCAACUUACACUGGAAUUAGUAAAAAAGGAAAUGGAAAUCAGCAAGAUUCAGGUACUUAAUGCCAUUGAAUCUCCUUGCACCUCUACGUUAUUUAAACCUUUUUGUUGUUGUUGUUUGAUUUGAGUAGGUCUAAAUCAUUUGAAGCAUACUUUUAGGACUCAAUUGCGAAAGCAAUCGAGGAAAGAUAAGUGGUGAACAACGUUGAUACUUGUUGAAUGAGCAGCUUAAGGCAAUAAAGAAGGAACUUGGGUUAGAAACAGACGACAAAAUUGCACUUUCAGUUACUCAAAGAGGGCAGAUGCUACUGAGAAUUUGCAAGAAGCCGUGGAUGUAUUUUUCUUUGGUCACACAUGGAGUGAUAAGUAAAGUUUUCUUUUUUUGUUUUACCACUACGGAAAAUUAAGGUGAUGUUUUUAUUAUUAGACUAAAAAUAAGGACGACAUUGAGAAAUUAAAUAUGUAGCCAAAAUUUUGUUCCCUGUAAGUAACAUAUACUCGUACAGUUCAAUCAAUUCAGCGCUGCAAGAAAACGGAAGCGAAUGUAUAAUAACCGUGUAUUGUAGUAAUAAUUUUUGUUAUAUAUUAAUGAAAAGAAUAUAUGUUCUUUUA